AAUUUCAUUUUCACUUCCCCACGUCGCGGCUGCGGGGAGCAACAAGCGGCAGCAGCGCGUGUGAGCGUGGGGCUCGCGCCGAGAGGGGCGCGCGAUUUUCACUGCGGGACUGUGGGGCUCCAGAAGUGGCGGGCCCCGGGCGCUGGCUUGGGAGCUGGCCACCAGCUGGUGGUGGCCCUAGGGAAGGAAGGAGAUAACCUGACUCUGCAUCCUACCUGAAAGGUGGAGGUGGACCAGAGAGAACCCCCGGAAGCCUGGGGACCCUUCCCGACCUGUGGCUUAAGUGUUCAGAACCGCUGUGCGCAGGCUGCAUAUACAAACUCAUCUUGGAAAGUCGCCCGCUGCAAAGGAAUGUCUAGAGCAACCCAGACUGGCCUUGAAUUCCCUAUGUAGCCGAGGCUCAUCUCCAACUUUUUCUCUUCCUGCCUCCACCUCCAGAGUUCUGGGGUUCUAGGUGCCUCCACGGCCUGUUGGGCUUCCCUUUUCUUAACCAAGAGGUUUUACUUCUUACCUGUUGAUCCUGUUCUGGACUGGGAAGACAGUCUGUGGACUGGAAGGACAGAGAGAAGAUAACAGUAGCUGUUACCAUCUGCCAGUCACACUUCAAGUUCAGAUCACUGGAGAUGAGAAAGAAGACAAAGCCAGCCAUGUUCAAGCCACUGUACAAUAGAAGAGAGGAGGAAGUGUUUGGACCAAGCAGCCCAAGGCUCUGCCAUGGGCACCGCUGCUGGAGUCACAUGGGGUGAGCCUGAUUAAAUUCAUACUGUGAGCCCAGCCAUGUCAGGGUCACCAACUUAAUGGACCCAACAUUAGUCAGGAUAUUCUCUAGUUAUCUCCAUUUUAUUUGUCUUAAUGUCUUCUCUUGACUUCUCAGUGAUGUAAAGCUGGCUGAAUUAUGGCCUUGUGCUUCACAGUGCAUACGACCAAUGCUGGCAGCCUUCCAUGAGACAUCCUUAUAAUGGCCAUUUCUUCCAGCCUGAGAGACUGGAGGACUCUUAUCACUGGCUCUAUUAUCUCUCCCAGCAUUCACCUCUGAUCACAUAAAUGCUUUUUUCCUGUGUGGAUACUUUUGUUUAUUGUUAACUUAAGCGUGGCACACAUGGAAGGUAAGAGAAAAUUAAAAUUUUAUAUGAACACAGUGUGAACACCUCGGUAGCACCAUGCAUAAAACCCAAGGGAGAUAUUUCAAAAUGACAACCACAUUUGCUUUGAAUACAUUAUUUUUAUCAUUCUUUCCAG
rnacentral:lncRNA from 1 species